GCAAAAUCUUGUUAUCCACUGCACGGGGCGGUUAUUCCAAAUACGUCUAAGCCGUACGAUCAAGGUCCCCACUCCGAAAUUUGUAAUUCAUGUGGACCCCAGCCCAAAAACUACUUGGCCGUUAAAUUUCCAAUAUUACCCUUGAACUUCAUAUUAUUCUCAACGUGACCUAGGGCCAUUCCACUAUAAAUCCGCCCUUCUACACCAGCUAUGUUUGCCAAACUUAAGAGCCUCAGGGGCCCUUUAGAAAUAUAAUAAUAAUAUAAAUUUAUUCUCUCUCUCUCUCUCUCUCGAAAUAAUCUCUCUCAAAAAAUGGCUACAUCGUCUAAAAAAUCAAGCGGACCGGUGUUACCAAUAGCGUCUGCGUUCCGGCGAUCGAUCUCUCCGUCUGGUCGGUUCUGCAAUUCGGCGAUGGGGAUUUCAGACGUAUCGUCGUUCGCCUCAUCAUCCUCGUCGUCGUUUACGUAUACUUCGAAUUCAUCGAGUGGUUUCUUCCAGAAUCACAGGUCAUCAUCUCCGACGCGCGUGAACCUUCACGCUAUGUCUUCUUCAUCUCCGACGCCGUCGGUAAGGUUCUCCAUCAACAGAUCUGACUCGACGCGACGUUCCAUGGCGGUAUCGCCACAAAAUCAGGUGGUACGAAAGCGCGAUGGUAACAGUAUGUCGCUGCAGAAGAGGACUUGCUUGUGCUCGCCUACUACCCAUCCCGGAUCGUUCAGGUGCGCUUUGCAUAAGAAUAAUUUUGGUAGCAAUAGUGGGAAUAAUCAUUCUAUAUCAUACUCGCCCAAUCGGUUGAACGCUCGGAGAUCGGCGAUGACGAAUUCUCUUGUGCGGAUCGGAACGGUUGAAGGCGAUUUGGUUAAGCGAGCUUUGGCGGCUCUGAUUCGGCCGUCGUCUCAUCAGCAGCGCCGCCGAGUCGAUUUCCAGCCUCGUCCUAGCCGUUUGUCUAUCAUGUCUAAAGCCGAGGAUCUGUGAGAAGUCUAGUUCUUUGGGUUACAGGUUGGUUCUAUUGAUACGGUUUAGAGAAGAAGUUUACUCUUCAGUGAUUUCCAGCGAAAGGGCCUUGGCCAGAUCUCGGUGGUUAUCGUGCCAAAUUUCCGGCGGGUUUUUGUACUCCGGGCAAUCGGAAACCUUAGCAAUUUUGGAAACAGGAGGAUCUGAAAUUGACUCAGUUGUGUACAUAUGAUUUGCGAAAUGAACGACACAUUUGGACAUUUAUCACAUCCAUACUGCACAAGAAUCUUAACUUAAAAGGGACAGUAUGUUAAGCAAUUUCAUUUAAUUGAACCCUGAAAAAUCUUAUUUCAAAUUAAAAACAAUAUUUAUUCAGAGUUCGUGUGUUCUUUGAGACUUCGAAUUUCGUAUUGGUUUGUUAAGUUCGUUGAAAUCAAUUUAAUCUCGUUCCCCGUGUGUGCUUGCAGCGUUGUGUGUUCCGUCCAGUUAGGCGUUGUGAUUGACGUAUAAUCCAUUCUCCCGUUCGCCGUCACGUUUCCGUUCGUCGUGUAUUCGUCUCCUGUUAAGGUAUUUCGUUAUUUCCUAUUUGUCAUUAUUUUCGUUUAUAAACAUAAUUUAUAUAUUUUGUUUGUUUUAACUGUUAUAUGUUUGUUUUUAAUAAUGUUGCAGCUUGCGGGUAUGGACGGAAGACUUCAAAUUUAUUUGAAGUUUGGGACUUGGGACCUUUGAUUUUGGAUUUGGACAAUCGAGUUUUUAAUGUAAAAUAUCUACUUACCUCGACUUUGGAACUGGAAAAGGAUUGGAGUUCGGAAAAAAAUAGUUAAAAAUUGGAUGUCCUAAAAAACUGCUAUUUUAAGGUUAAGCCCUCAUUUGACCUCAUUUUCUUUUUCAUUUUUUUUCUCUUUUAAUUUUAAUCACCUGAUUUUUAAUAAAAUAAUAUUAUAAGUAAAUUAAAAAAAAUUCAUUUUUUUCAACCACAUAUUUUACAAAAAAAAAGCUAUUUCAACAAUUAAAAUUUGAAAAUAAUAAGGACCAAACGGGGCUUAAAAGUUGAAAUUAUACUAUUAACUGAAACAAAAAUUACUAGGUGGAUAAAAAUUACGAACCUCAAAUUCGUUUAAGCUAUGAUCCGUGAGUCUAUUUAAUUUGGAUUAAAAUCUGAUUUUAAUUUAAGUUAAAGUACAAUCGAAUAUUAAUAAUAUUUUUCAUUUAUCUCAUAACUUUUUAAUCACUCAUUUUACAAAUUUCUAUUAUAAUUUAUGAAAAUUUUUAAUUUUACUCCUUAUUAAAUACCCUCUAUAUUUCAAGAUAUAUAUAUUAAAAAAAAAAAAUUAGAACGAAUCUGCAAAAUGGCGCGCCUAUAAAGAAAGAACGAAAUGUUAAAGAGAAGGCAGAUAAAUAAAUAAAGAGGAUUGAUACGAAUAUAGUGGCCUGCUGGACACGCGUAGGUGUGGGGGCAGGAGAGAGGCCGAUGAUUGGAGGAAAGACUUUUUGGGAUGUAUGGAAUCGUUGGAAUAUCGAUGUCGUUUCAGCACUGCAAAUGGACCUUUUCCUUAUCUAGAACCCUAGGGUAGGAGUGGAGGUAACACUGCCACCCAAAUCACUAUUUCUUGACUAGAAAGGAUAGACUGAUUUGGGACCUCCUUCAUUGGAAUAAAAUGGCACCCUAUGCAACCUUUCUUUCAUGUGCUUUUACGAUUCUUGACCCGGAAAAAAAUGCCUUCAAAACAAAUAAUUCUUGAAAACCUAAGGUACUCGUCUAGGGAUGGCAAAUUGGUUCGUCGGCUCAGUGACUUGAGCCGAGCCCUAUCUUGAGGUGUCAAGUAGAGCUCGAGCUGACUCGAAAAAAUAAUCAGCAGCGCACGAUUCCCCUUAAAAGGCAGCACAGGCUACUGCAUAAAUUUAUGUAGUAGCCUGCCGCCUUUGAAUAGACAGCACAGCUGCCUUAGUGAAAAAAAACUCAAGCCGGCUCAACUCGAUAAGGCCUGAACCAAAAACUCGGGUUGAGUCUCGAUUUUUCACGGGCUAAAAAAAUUCGACUCACUUUUGCUUGAGCGAUGCUUGAGCCUCAAGUUUCGGUUCUCGAGCCAUCUUGGCUCGUUGACACUCCUACACUCGUCCCACAUGACGAUGGAGGAAUUAGUGAAAGAACCGGCCAUCUUUCCAAAAUAACCUUUGACCAAGUUUUUUAAAAAAAUGUUUAAAAGCAAAAUAAGCAAUGAAAAGGCACUUUUACCCUUAUUUGUGAAGAGAGAAAAACGUGGUGUACUGUAGCAGAGGACCGACGACCCUGGCAUCAACCAAGAACCCAAAACAUUGGCACUAGAACUCCAUUUCUUUGACUUUGAAGAAGGUAAGCUUUGAUUUUUGACCAAAAAUCAUUUUUCUAUGUAUAUUUAUUGAGAAAUCUUUACAAAAAUGAUUAUAGAUUGUAUUUUGAGCAAAAUGUACGUGUUUUGAAG
rnacentral:lncRNA from 1 species